rnacentral:lncRNA from 1 species
GUCACCCAGGCUGAAAUGCAGUGGCGCAAUCUCGGCUCACUGCAAGCUCCGCCUCCUGGGUUCAUGCCAUUCUCCUGCCUCAGCCUCUCGAGUAGCUGGAACUACAGGCGCCAGCCACCACGCCCGGGUAAUUUUUUGUAUUUUUAGUAGAGACGGGAUUUCACUGUGUUAGCCAGGAUUGUCUCGAUCUCCUGACCUCGUGAUCUGCCUGCCUCGGCCUCCCAAAGUGCUGGGAUUACAGACAGCAAGACCCCCCGCAAGACAGCAAGACCCAACUCUCUUCUUUCUCUUCCUCCUCAUCCUACUCAACAUGAAGAUGACAAGGAUGAAGACCUUCAUGAUGGUCCACUUCACUUAAUGAAUAGUAAAUAGUAAAUUUUCUCUUCCUCAUGAUGUUUGAAAUAAUAUUUUCUUUUCUCUAGCUUAUUUUAUUGUAACAAUACAGUAUACUAUACACACACAAAAUAUGUGUUAAUCAACUGUUUAUGUUAUUGGUAAGGCUUAUGGUUAACAGUGGGCUCUUAAUAGCUACACUGUGGUGGAGUCAAAAGUUAUAUACAGGGUCUCGACUGUCUGGGGGUUCGGUGCCCCUAAUCUCUGCAUUGUUCAAGGGACAACCACAGUGUUAUUUCUGUUAGACAUGUGUCAGCACCCUAUGCUGUUACUGUGACUUGCUAUUUUUUUAAAUCUCCCUUGUAACUGUAGGAUAACUCUCUGUAUAACUCUAGUGAAUCCCCAGUAAGUGCAAAUUAAAAUGGUGACCUGUAUCUUUAAAGAAAAUUAAAUCUUUAUACAUGCUCAUGA